rnacentral:lncRNA from 1 species
UAGAAAUUGUACAGCUUUCCUUCCAUCUUCACUACGUACCCUUGCAUAUGCAGAACCAUUGUCAAGUACUCUUGUUUCCAUCCAUGUUGCCAUAAUAUAAGGUUGUCUUAAAAUCAAUGGAUAAGACGUUGUAUGUUAAACAAAGAAAUGUUGUUUUGUCGCAAUAUCAUCAAUUCAAAUUUUGAAAUCUGGAUAAGCUCCAUAUAAUUUAUCUCAUGUAUUAUUAGCUGCUCAUAUUGCCCAUCCAUGUUCUAUAUCAAUUGGCCAUUUCUGCUUCUUAUAAAGAUCCUUAGACAUAAGAUUUAUUUCAGAACCAUGGUCAACUAAAGCAACAAUUGGUUCUUCUAUAUCUCUUACUUUCACCAAUACUUUAGUAGUUACCUUAUCCAAUGUUUUUGAUUAUAAUGGCUUGAAUCUUCUAUUUCCUUAUU